rnacentral:rRNA from 1 species
UACGUAGGCAGCAAGCGUUGUUCGGAAUUACUGGGCGUAAAGAGUGUGUAGGCGGUGCUCUAAGUUCGGUGUGAAAUCUCCCGGCUCAACUGGGAGGGUGCGCCGGAAACUGGAAUGCUUGAGCGUGGGAGAGGAAAGCGGAAUUCCUGGUGUAGCGGUGAAAUGCGUAGAUAUCAGGAGGAACACCUGCGGUGUAGACGGCUUCUGGACCAUGCUGACGCUGAGACACGAAAGCGUGGGUAGCAAACAGG